rnacentral:rRNA from 1 species
UACGUAGGGCGCAAGCGUUAUCCGGAAUUACUGGGCGUAAAGGGCUCGUAGGCGGCCAACUAAGUCGGAUGUGAAAUCCCCAGGCUCAACUUGGGAACUGCAUCCGAUACUGGAUGGCUUGAAUUCGGGAGAGGGAUGCAGAAUUCCAGGUGUAGCGGUGAAAUGCGUAGAUAUCUGGAGGAAUACCGGUGGCGAAGGCGGCAUCCUGGACCAAUACUGACGCUGAGGAGCGAAAGCUAGGGGAGCAAACGGG